AAAGCGGCAAACGGGUGCGUAACACGUGAGCAACCUGCCCUUAAGUGGAGGAUAGCCCGCCGAAAGGUGGAUUAAUACUGCAUAUGAUCCUGUUCCGCAUGGAAUAGAGAUUAAAGCCUGAAAUGGCGCUUAAGGAGGGGCUUGCGGCCUAUCAGCUUGUUGGUGAGGUAAUAGCUCACCAAGGCUAAGACGGGUAGCUGGUCUGAGAGGAUGAUCAGCCACACUGGAACUGAGAUACGGUCCAGACACC
rnacentral:rRNA from 1 species